GAUGAACGCUGGCGGCGUGCCUAAUACAUGCAAGUGAAACGGGUGUCUUCGGACACUAGUCGCGAACGGGUGAGUAAUACGUAGGCAACCUGCCCUAAAGAGGGGGAUAACUGAGGGAAACUUCAGCUAAUACCGCAUAAAGAACGCAAGGCAUCUUGCGGAGAUGAAAGGAGGGUCAAACCUCCGCUUUAGGAUGGGCCUACGGCGCAUUAGCUAGUUGGUGAGGUAACGGCCCACCAAGGUUAUGAUGCGUAGCCGACCUGAGAGGGUGAUCGGCCACAUUGGGACUGAGACACGGCCCAGACUCCUACGGGAGGCAGCAGUAGGGAAUUUUCGGCAAUGGGGGAAACCCUGACCGAGCAACGCCGCGUGAAGGAUGAAGGUUUUCGGAUCGUAAACUUCUGUUGUAGAAGAAAAAUGACUAUUGUAGGAAAUGACAAUAGAGUGAUGGUAUUCUACUAGAAAGCCACGGCUAACUACGUG
rnacentral:rRNA from 1 species